rnacentral:piRNA from 1 species
UGCGCGAGGGGGGUAUAACACAAGGAAAGC